UGACCUCAAAUCAGGUAGGAUUACCCGCUGAACUUAAGCAUAUCAAUAAGCGGAGGAAAAGAAACCAACUGGGAUUACCUUAGUAACGGCGAGUGAAGCGGUAAAAGCUCAAAUUUGAAAUCUGGUACUUUCAGUGCCCGAGUUGUAAUUUGUAGAAUUUGUCUUUGAUUAGGUCCUUGUCUAUGUUCCUUGGAACAGGACGUCAUAGAGGGUGAGAAUCCCGUUUGGCGAGGAUACCUUUUUCUCUGUAAGACUUUUUCGAAGAGUCGAGUUGUUUGGGAAUGCAGCUCAAAGUGGGUGGUAAAUUCCAUCUAAAGCUAAAUAUUGGCGAGAGACCGAUAGCGAACAAGUACAGUGAUGGAAAGAUGAAAAGAACUUUGAAAAGAGAGUGAAAAAGUACGUGAAAUUGUUGAAAGGGAAGGGCAUUUGAUCAGACAUGGUGUUUUUUGCAUGCACUCGCCUCUCGUGGGCUUGGGCCUCUCAAAAAUUUCACUGGGCCAACAUCAAUUCUGGCAGCAGGAUAAAUCAUUAAGAAUGUAGCUACUUCGGUAGUGUUAUAGCUUUUUGGAAUACUGUUAGCCGGGAUUGAGGACUGCGCUUCGGCAAGGAUGUUGGCAUAAUGGUUAAAUGCCGCCCGUCUUGAAACACGGACCAAGGAGUCUAACGUCUAUGCGAGUGUUUGGGUGUAAAACCCGUACGCGUAAUGAAAGUGAACGUAGGUUGGGGCCUUCGGGUGCACAAUCGACCGACCUUGAUGUUUUCGGAUAGGUUUGAGUAAGAGCAUAGCUGUUGGGACCCGAAAGAUGGUGAACUAUGCCUGAAUAGGGUGAAGCCAGAGGAAACUCUGGUGGAGGCUCGUAGCGGUUCUGACGUGCAAUCGAUCGUCGAAUUUGGGUAUAGGGGGCGAAAGACUAAUCGAACCAUCUAGUAGCUGGUUCCUGCCGAAGUUUCCCUCAGGAUAGC
rnacentral:ncRNA from 1 species